AAUUGAAAUAAAAACACAUGCAAUGUGAAAUAUAAAUUUCGAUGAUGAUGAACCCUAAUUAUUGCAAUCGCGAAGUCAAAGAGCUUGAAUUUGAAGCCAUGGCUAAAGCUUAAAAGGGUGAUUCAUAUAUAUAACAUCAAAAUGGAGAAGUCAAAGAGCUUGAAUUUUAAGCCAUGGCUGAAGCUUCAAAGGGUGAUUCAAAUAACAUCAAAAGUACCACACAAAAAGCUUCGUAACCUGCGCCAUUUCUCAGCCACCGAAACCCGCCACUUCUAUGAAUCUGUAGUCAUCUCACCAUUUGCCGUUUUCCAUCCUUGAACCUGAACCAUCCUCAAUACCUUUUAAAUGUUUGAUGACAAGGAAGCUUGUGAUUUAUCAGAUUUGGAUUUUUAUGAACUCAAUAUUGAAGAACCUGAUUAGAUAAAGACACUAGGUUGAUGAUCCAUUGACGAUCGCACAAACAUUUAAUAUCGUGUGCCUCUGAGUUUUACAACAAUUAGUAUGUUUUCAGUGGUUUUAGACCAUAGUCUUCUUGAACUACAAUGGCUUUGUUUAUGUUGGGUUCUAGUUAUCUACACAUACACCCGAAGUUUCUACAUUCGAAUGCUACUUCUUACAAAUGGCCAUUUGGUGGUAUGUUGAACUUAACUUGGUAUAUUUUUAUUUGACUGGAAGUUUAACAUGUCUAAUGAAUUCUGUUAAUUUUCAUCCCUUGCUGAAAUUGAGGAGAGACUUGCUAUGGCAGAAUCGAUGUUGGAGGCUACCUUGCAGUACCAAUUUGGCCAACAUAAGGCACCGCCUUCCCCAAGAUAAUGGGCUUCCUAACAAAAGAAAAGGCACCCUGCAAGCACUCUGGGUAUAACCCUACUCCAGAUUCAGAUGCCAAGAGGUGGUGUCGUUGUCACCCAAGAUCUUGCUUGAAUCAGAUCAAUGCGCAUGUGUGAUCUGUAACCAAGGGUUCCAAGGAGAUCAAAUCUACAGAUGCAUCUGAGAGACGACACAAGAUGACAUGGAAGUUGCUGAAACAGAUUUAACCGAGAUCAAGAAGAGGGUGUCCGUGUGUCCGGAACUGAGUUUUAUGGUGACAUGGAAGUUUUUUUUUUGUUCCUUUAGGUUUCUGCAUAUCAUUUUUUUUUGUUUCUAUAGUUCAAAUUUGUAAUAUGUUAUUAAUGAAGUUCAAUUUGUAGGUGCUUGAUGGACAUAAUGGGGCAACAAUAGCUAUAUAAACCAAGAAGAAUCUUUUGAACAAUGAUUGAGCUCAUGUGAACAAGAUCAAAGGAGUUUUGAUUGGCCGAGACAAAAAGGAGCACGGCCGAAAUGAAAGUAGGGAGACUCUUUUAGAGAAUGGGAGGAGGUUAUGUUGUUGAAAGUAUUGCUAGGCGUGAUGCAGGUUGAGACAAAAGUUCUUUUGUUACAAGUGUUGUAGGUUAUGUUGCAAUUAUCAUUUGUACAUAACUUUUGAUUAGUAGUUUAUGUAUUUAGUAUUAAAAUUAAAAUUGAAAACUUAUGUAUGGAUUUUUGUUUCUUAUUGUUAAUAUAAUUAAUUUUAUUUU